GCCAGGCACUGAACUUAUCCAGUGGUUUAGUGGUGACUUCAUUGUGCAAAUCAUCUUCUGUGCCAGCCUCCCAGAACAGUCUGCCACACUAGCUCCCACCUCCGGGCUAUGGGAAACUUCUGGAUGGAAUGAACUCAAUAGCUUGGGAGAGGCCACUGCCCUUAAUGACUGGAAUACAUCUUUGAAAGGCUGCAGCUCUUCAUUAAUGGUAGGUACUGUGGGACAAGAAGAUAAAGAUCUGGCCCUCCCAGGACUUCCGCUUUUCCUGAAUCACCUCUUGUAUUCAGUAACCCCUAGUACUCCUGCCAAAGUAGACACCUCUCUCAGGUGCUUUUGAGAGUCAGACUGCCUUGGGGCAAGACCAUUUGUAGCAUUCCAUCUGGAAGGCCCUUCCCCUGGCACACAGGUCCCUGUGUCAACAAGGUGGAAGAACCCGA